UAAAAACUCAUUUGAAGUCCAGAGCAUGCAAAAUCAUAAUUAAAUUGGAUUUAUCACUCAGAAAAUGGAAGUAAUUCUACCAUAUUGCAUUAUUCAAUACAAGACAUCCGGUACUGUAUUACUGAACAUAUCAGCUGUAGACCAUCAUGAAAUUUAUGGUGUAUAUAUGUGCGAGUUUUCUUUUUAAAUAGCCAUUUAUCAACUAUUUUAAGCAGACUAGGAAAAUAUUACCUUUGGGAAUUAUUCUCUUAUUGUGUCCCACUUUUUCAUUUUCAUUGCAGAAUUUCAUUUUUUGUAAGAGGAGCUACUGAAGAUUUAAUGUAGCAGGUGUGACUAAUCAAGCGGAUAGCUUCCCUCCUCCUGGAAACAGUAUGCACUCCUCUUCCAGAGCUGGAAAACUAGUGAUUAUGCUUCUAGCACAACUUUUCCUCCUAAAUCCAGAGUCUGAGGGGCCCUCGGAUCUGAACGGAGAAGAACUCUCCGGAGAAAGGCAGGAAGGGAGGAGCGAGCGAGUGGGGCUUUCGGAGCCUGCGGGGUUGUGGCUCCUGCAGUCCAGGCAGAGGCAGCCGCCAGCCCAGCGAUGCAGGCCGGGCCUGGCUGGGGGCGGGCUCCGUGGGGCCCAGGCCAGCUCUUCCCACCACAGCCUCCCCACCGCAGAGAAUCCCCUCUCACCCGGAGCUUCAGCGGAACCUGAAACCGGAGGAAGCCCCAGAUUGACUGUGAGAAGUGAGGAAAUCCGGGGCUUUAAUCUGCAAUACCAGCACGGCCCAGCCCCGCCCCCGCCCAAGUCUGUCACUCAUGGAGACCCGCAACCCCGUCUGGGGCCUUUGGAGGAGGGAGCCAGAAAACCGCAGCCUUUCUCCUCCGCAGCUCCGCAGCGUCACCCACACAGAGCGCACAGUGCAUUUCCUCCGGUCACAGAGAGAACCAGCAGCAAAGACGAGCAAGUGCUCAGCCCAGAGCCCUGCGCCUUCAGGGAACUGGUUAGUUCUGCAACUCGUGACUGUAGGCGUUUUUAAA
rnacentral:lncRNA from 1 species